rnacentral:rRNA from 1 species
UACGUAGGGGGCAAGCGUUGUCCGGAAUCAUUGGGCGUAAAGCGCGUGUAGGCGGCUCGGUAAGUCCGCUCUGAAAGUCCGGGGCUCAACCCCGGGAGGCGGGUGGAUACUGUCGAGCUCGAGUCCGGAAGAGGCGAGUGGAAUUCCUGGUGUAGCGGUGAAAUGCGCAGAUAUCAGGAGGAACACCGAUGGCGAAGGCAGCUCGCUGGGACGUGACUGACGCUGAGGUGCGAAAGCGUGGGGAGCAAACAGG